AAUAUUGGACAAUGGGGGCAACCCUGAUCCAGCCAUGCCGCGUGUGUGAAGAAGGUCUUCGGAUUGUAAAGCACUUUAAGUUGGGAGGAAGGGCUUUAGGUUAAUACCCUGAAGUUUUGACGUUACCAACAGAAUAAGCACCGGCUAACUCUGUGCCAGCAGCCGCGGUAAUACAGAGGGUGCAAGCGUUAAUCGGAAUUACUGGGCGUAAAGCGCGCGUAGGUGGUGCAGUAAAAUGGUAUUAAAAUCCCCGGGCUUAACCUGGGAACGGCUUGCAUAACUGCUGAGCUAGAGUACGGUAGAGGGUAGUGGAAUUUCCGGUGUAGGGGUGAAAGGCGUGGAUAAAGAAAGGAACACAAGUGGCGAAGGCAACUACCUGGACGGAAACUAACACUGAGGUGCGAAAGCGUGGGAGCAAACA
rnacentral:rRNA from 1 species